ACCACUGUGUCUCAUAACUACUUAAAAAUACAAAACAAUGGUGUGGAGUGAAGGGAGAAAAUGAGUAAAACAGCUUGAGAAGAAAUUAUGAAUGAAACAGGAAAGAUGGACACGAGUGACGAUGAGCUGGUGUUUCUCAGGCCGCCUUGUCUUUCCGUUAUCACAGGAUGUAGCGCUGGGAAGAGCGAAGAAGCAGCGAAGGGAGGACCGGAGCCUUAGAGCAUGAUUUACUUGACCUCGCAGCGCUGGAACCAACAACCAGAACCUCAUUAAUUCCCAGGGUCAUUCUGCUCGGACAUAACUUGGUUAAAAAUCAGAAUGAGUGGAUGACUUCCAGACGUACACCAAGAGUUAUGAAAUCCCUGGCCUUAACCCAACCUCCCUGGAUCUCGUAGUACCCACUCCAAAACCAAAGCUUUCUCGAAACGGGGGUUUAAAUCACGUUGGGUCCUCUUGGAGGAGUCACCCAAUCCUGAUUGAAGGGAGGAGGCCAAAUGGAACAUUUUCUGCUUAUUAGGCAGCAAAUACGCUGUUGUUUUAUGUGAUUAUCAACUAUGAAUGAUUUUUCUCUCCCAUCCA